UUUCAAAAUCCUAUUUCACUUCACCAAGCCUUCAAUGACGAGAACACGGCCGCAAUCAGUUUAUUCUUCACUAACAUAAAAUCAAACCACCCAUUAAUCACAGAAAGAAAUAAGCUGACGCGCAGAAGAUAUUCAGAAUAUUCAGACAUCUAUAUUUUCAGCGAUAUGAACAAAAUACAUUAAGGAUUUAACAUUGUAAGUAAACAUUUUUUAUUUAUCUUCAUAUUUUGAUAAACUACAUAAUUCAGAAUAUUUUUUCAUGUAUAACAUUGUUUUCUUGUUAGUUAUGUCUGAGGACAAAUAUUCUUAGCAGUAGGUAUAUGAUUUUGAUUUUGAUUCAAAAUUUCCACCAAUACUAGCAUUAUUAACAAUUAAUUGUUUGGACACACAAUUUUAAAUAUUUUUGUCCAUGGAUGUAAAAAAACUCACUGGAGUCAAUAUGUUUGCUAACAAGGAAUUCCCAAUUCAAUAUUAUACAAGACUGAAAAAUAAAUAGGGGUACACUAAAAUAUACGAAAAUUUAGUAGUACCCAAAGUGAUGGAGUACCAUGACUAAAUGUUCGUAUAUUUUAGUGUACCCCUAUUUAUUUUUCAGUCUUGAAUAAUAUUGUCAAUAUUGAAUUAGGAAUUCCUUGUUAGCGAACAUAAUGACUC